CUUGCCAUGUCUAUCAUGGGGAUCAUGUGGCCUUGUGCCAGUAACGGGACCAAAACGAAGUGAAGCUGGUUGGAUGUUGAUGCCAUUGCAGUCCGUAAAACUAGUUCGCCACAAUGGAAUAUGCACUUUGUGUUUAGAAUUUGAAGGUGGAUGCAGCAAUGCUUUGCUUUUGCUUUCAAUUUCUCCGCGUUAGCUUGACCUUUGACAGAGUCUCCUUUGUUUCUAGAUCAACGACUUGACUCAAAUUUGCUGUGCGAUUGACAAGUCAAUAGAUAUGCGUAUUAGACUAUAGAGGGGGAUGAAUUUAUAAAUUAUCUGUCUAUUUACUGCUAUCAUCACAACAUACUCAAGAUAAAGCAUGAUUGAUUAUUACAUAAUCAGAAGAGAGCACAAAAUUGGUCUCUGCUGGAACUUUCACUGCAAAUGCAAUGCGGCUUUUGUUAAUGUUGAAGGUUGUUGUAAAUUAGGAGUGAUUGUUAUUGCCUACUGACUUAGAAAGUCUUCUGGGCAGGUAAUGCUAGUCUGCAUGGAAAUGAGGCAUUUGGAAGAGGUCAGAAUUCAUUGUUGGAUUAGUACAUACACGUAGGGUGAAUCAUCCACUUGCCGGUGUGGGACGGUUGACCCCCCUGCCCACUUAGCCACUGACGUUUCCGUGCGAAACGGUGGAUGGACUUGAACCGAGUGCAUAUGUUGAUCAAUUAUUUGAACUUUGAAGUCUCAAGUCUCAUUGGACGAUUGCGUGCAAAACGGUGGAUGGGCCUCCCCACCGCAUUCUGAGGUAGACUUCGGCUUCCAUGACUUGACUUCAAUUUUUUUGGCUUGGUUGACUUAGUCAACACGCUUAGUGUUUUUUUUGGACUCCGCCUUCUUUUUGUUCAUUUGUUUUCUUUCGGUCUAAAUUAUUUUUUAGAUGGACGUAUGAAAUUUGAAUUUUAUAAAAUCGAAUUCCUAUCUUAUGAUAUUUUCUUUUAAUUUUUUUAUUUUUUACAAAUAAACAUACUUUUACCUGUACUUACUUCAUCACCAUAUCUAGUCGAUAAAGUUUUUAAAUAUCAUUCCUGUAAAAUAACUUUCACCAAAUAGUUGUCACAACUUUUUAUAUGAAUUUGAUAAUUUUGACUCAGUUGCUACCUAUCAAUGUAAUAUUUGUAUGAAGUAUGUUUCACGCAAGUUUGAUUUGUAUAAAGAAAACACCAGUAGAUGAUUAAGAAUAUUAUAGUAAUUCCCUUACCUUUAACGUGAUUCAUUCUGAUCUUGUACCUCCAGGAAUUUGUUGGUUGAUACGUCCAUGAAGCACGAGCAGGGUGAGUAGGUAAUUUAGGACGCCAUCAACAAAUCCAAUACCACCUCCAAUCAGAUCUGUCCCACAUGAUACAUACUUUAGUGGUUGGACCCAACUUUCAAAUUUAAGAAAUAUGGUUAAAUGACCUGGUCUAGUGGCAUUAUACACAUUGUCAC
rnacentral:lncRNA from 1 species